AUACUCUGGAUUCUCCUCAAAUCAUUUAAAUAUUUCGCCUUUUACUAAAAAUUUCUGCGGAGAGGAACAAUUCUUAGUCUUUGACCAAUUUUUUGAGGCCUUGCAUUUGCAGGGCU